rnacentral:rRNA from 1 species
UACGUAGGGGGCAAGCGUUGUCCGGAUUUAUUGGGCGUAAAGAGCGUGUAGGCGGUCUGGUAGGUCCGUUGUGAAAACUCGAGGCUCAACCUCGAGACGCCGAUGGAAACCCUCAGACUAGAGUCCGGAAGAGGAGAGUGGAAUUCCUGGUGUAGCGGUGAAAUGCGCAGAUAUCAGGAAGAACACCCGAGGCUAAGGCGGCUCUCUAGUACGGUACUGACGCUGAGACGCGAAAGCGUGGGGAGCGAACAGG